rnacentral:piRNA from 1 species
UGGCUUCACUUUUAUAGGUGUCAGAUCUUCU